rnacentral:sRNA from 1 species
AAAAGUGAGAUUAAUAGAGAAUUUAACACAGCAAAAGACUUUUGAUUUUCCCUCAAUUAGAUUUAAUG